rnacentral:rRNA from 1 species
UACGGGGGGGGCAAGCGUUGUUCGGAAUUACUGGGCGUAAAGGGCUCGUAGGUUGCCAACUAAGUCAGACGUGAAAGCCCCGGGCUCAACCCGGGAAGUGCACUCGAUACUGCGUGGCUUGAGUACUGGAGAGGUUGGUGGAAUUCUCGGUGUAGAGGUGAAAUUCGUAGAUAUCGAGAGGAACACCGGUGGCGAAGGCGGCCAACUGGACAGAUACUGACGCUGAGACACGAAAGCGUGGGGAGCAAACAGG